AAACUUCAUCAUCGUUGUUAGAGUAUCUCUAUCAACACUAUUAAAAUUGAAGGGCUUUUUUUGAAGUCCCCUUGAAAUUUUAAAGUAUUUACGGAUCUUUGCCAUUGGAUCUUUUUUAACAUAUGCUUUGUAUUAUAGAUAUAUUAAAAAAAACAUUUAUUGUUUAAUUUCUUUUUCAGCGUAAUUAACUCAAACGAUGCAACAAACUAUUGAUUUUAAUUUCCUUACCUUUUAACUUCGGCUCCAACUUAUGUUCACGUUUAUGAAGGCUUAAAUUAAGACUGAGGUGAUUAUCCACAUCUAUGGUUUCUAUGUUGUGUGUGAGGCGAAUCAAUCAAGGUCCGUGUAUUCUUUCUGGUAUAUGCUACCUUCGAUGGAGAUCUAAGGUUUUGCAAUGGAGAAUCUGCACAGAUCUGUUUAUCGGUGGUUUUGAGAGUGUUUUCAAUCAUUUCUUAAAGACGACAACUAAGGAUUCUCAAGAUCGUAUUAGGAGUUUGUUAACAAGGAAAAAAGAUCUCCAAGACGGAGUUGUGAAGAAUAAUCUAUGGAGAUUCGAGGUUUCUAAUGGUGGGACAAGAAAAUAUUGCUGUCUUGAAAGAGGAUCUUUGUCAUGCCUUUAAAGGUUUGAGGUCGGAGUCGAUAGCAUAUAGGGAGUUUGAAUGUGGUUGGAAGACUAGGAGGUUGGUCUUUUGGCAUAAGUUUCGAUCUUCUUAAACCAUAGUAUUACCUCUCCGAAGUUCUUUGUUUCCUUUGGUGUCUCUGGUGAAAUCUCUUCUAACCAUAUCAGGAUUCAAAGCAGUAGAUUGGAGAAGAAUUGGUUUCUGAGUAUACAGUUUAGUUGCUCAAUGAUGGUGAUGGGUAUAAUAAAAGAGUGGAGUGUACGACGGUUGACCUUGGUAGCCUCACAAUGUACGACUGUUUUCAUACAACUGAUACGUCUGUAUCCACUGUUUUCAUACAACUGAUACGUCUGUAUCCAAGCAAUAAACAAGGUGCUAUAUAGUUACACAAAAGAGUGUAGUAAUAGAUGUCUCAGUUGGAGGAAUAUACAAUCACGUGAUUGGUUUGAACUGUCAUGGAUGUGGUUUUUACAAGAAGUUGUUGUUCAAACUUUU